CGGGAAUAAGAGAAUGUUUUUGAUCUGCUAAAUCUAAAAGCCUGUAGUUUAAUUCUAUGGUAUUCCCGA
rnacentral:tRNA from 1 species